rnacentral:rRNA from 1 species
AUUGAACGCUGGCGGCAGGCCUAACACAUGCAAGUCGAGCGAGUGGCGGACGGGUGAGUAAUGUAUGGGAAACUGCCUGAUGGAGGGGGAUAACUACUGGAAACGGUGGCUAAUACCGCAUACCAUCAGAUGAACCCAUAUGGGAUUAGCUUGUUGGUGGGGUAAAGGCUCACCAAGGCGAAGAUCCCUAGCUGGUCUGAGAGGAUGACCAGCACAACUGGAACGGAGACACGGCCCAGACUCCUCCGGGAGGCAGCAGUGGGGAAUAGUGCACAAUGGGCGCAAGCCUGAUGCAGCCAUGCCGCGUGUAUGAAGAAGGCCGUCGGGUUGUAAAGUACUUUCAGCGGGGAGGCGUUACCCGCAGAAGAAGCACCGGCUAACUCCGUGCCAGCAGCCGCGGUAAUAC